rnacentral:rRNA from 1 species
UCGAGUCGGUAGCAUUCCUAGCUUGCUAGGAGAUGACGAGCGGCGGACGGGUGAGAAAAGCUUGGGAAUAUGCCUUAUGGUGGGGGACAACAGUUGGAAACUACUGCUAAUACCGCAUAACGUCUACGGACCAAAGGAGGGGAUCUUCGGACCUUUCGCCAUUUGAUUAGCCCAAGUGAGAUUAGCUAGUUGGUGAGGUAAUGGCUCACCAAGGCGACGAUCUCUAGCUGGUUUGAGAGGAUGAUCAGCCACACUGGGACUGAGACACGGCCCAGACUCCUACGGGAGGCAGCAGUGGGGAAUAUUGCACAAUGGGCGAAAGCCUGAUGCAGCCAUGCCGCGUGUGUGAAGAAGGCCUUCGGGUUGUAAAGCACUUUCAGUUGUGAGGAAAGGGAUGUAGUUAAUAACUGCAUUCUGUGACGUUAACAACAGAAGAAGCACCGGCUAACUUCGUGCCAGCAGCCGCGUUAAUACGAGGGGUGCAAGCGUUAAUCGGAAUUACUGGGCGUAAAGCGUUCGUAGGCGGUUAUUUAAGCAAGAUGUGAAAGCCCAGGGCUCAACCUUGGAACUGCAUUUUGAACUGGGUAACUAGAGUACUGUAGAGGGUGGUGGAAUUUCCAGUUGUAGCGGUGAAAUGCGUAUUAGAUUUGAAGGAACAUCAGUUGGCGAUAGGCGGCUACCUG